AUUGAACGCUGGCGGCAGGCCUAACACAUGCAAGUCGAGCGAGCGGCGGACGGGUGAGUAAUGUAUGGGGACUGCCCGAUAGAGGGGGAUAACUACAGGAAACGGUGGCUAUUACCGCAUACUAUCGGAUAACCCAUAGGGGAUUAGAUAGUAGGUGGGGUAAAGGCUCACCUAGGCGACGAGCUCUAGCUGGUCUGAGAGGAUGAGGGGCCACACUGGGACUGCGACACGGCCCAGACUCCUGGGGAGGCAGCAGUGGGGAAUAUUGCACAAUGGGCGCAAACCUGAUGCAGCCAUGCCGCGUGUAUGAUGAAGCCCUUAGGGUUGUAAAGUACUUUCAGCGGGGAGGCGUUACCCGCAGAAGAAGCACCGGCUAAAUCCGUGCCAGCAGCCGCGGUAAUAC
rnacentral:rRNA from 1 species